AUGCCGGAUGCUCCAGUUGGAUGCAUGUCCUUCUGGGAAAGAUUCAUCGGUAUGGGAUGGGGUCGCGUCCUAUCAGCUUGAUGGCGGGGUAACGGCCCACCAUGGCUUCGACGGGUAGCCGGCCUGAGAGGGCGACCGGCCACAUUGGGACUGAGAUACGGCCCAGACUCCUACGGGAGGCAGCAGUGGGGAAUAUUGCACAAUGGGCGCAAGCCUGAUGCAGCGACGCCGCGUGCGGGAUGACGGCCUUCGGGUUGUAAACCGCUUUUGACUGGGAGCAAGCCCUUCGGGGUGAGUGUACCUUUCGAAUAAGCACCGGCUAACUACGUGCCAGCAGCCGCGGUAAUACGUAGGGUGCAAGCGUUAUCCGGAAUUAUUGGGCGUAAAGGGCUCGUAGGCGGUUCGUCGCGUCCGGUGUGAAAGUCCAUCGCUUAACGGUGGAUCCGCGCCGGGUACGGGCGGGCUUGAGUGCGGUAGGGGAGACUGGAAUUCCCGGUGUAACGGUGGAAUGUGUAGAUAUCGAAAA
rnacentral:rRNA from 1 species